rnacentral:lncRNA from 1 species
UGGGAUUAUAGGCAUGAGCCACCACACCCAGCCUGAAUUCUUCAUGGAUCUGAUGCCUACAUGCUAUCUGCCUGGGUGCCACUGGAGCUCUGAAUUUUACAUACCAGGAGAAGAUUAGGACACCUAGAGAGACACUAGGGGUUCCUUUGCACAGAAGAAAGGCCACAUGAAGAUGGGGACACAGCAAGAAGGCAGCGGCAGCAAGCAAAGGAGAGAGGCCUCUGAGGAAACCAACCCUGCCAAACACCUGCUGCUUGGACUUCUAGCGUCCAGAACUGUGGACUCUUAUCAAUACCGAACAUUGAAAUCUGGAGGCUCGGCCAUCAGAACUCUUACACAGCACAGAAGACGAGUUUCACGGGUCACUCAGCAUCUACUGGAAGGAUGGAAAAAAUCAAGAAUUUGGCACCCUAAACACAACAUGAGAAGGUUUCACUCAGUAAUGGCCUCCUGAAAACAACUUAAUCUUCUUGGACAAGACUCUGAACUGAAAUCAAGGUUUCAAAAUAUUUUGUUGUGAGUGAUGAAGCUGUCUGGACCUAACUUUUCCGAGAGGCCAAGAAACCAUUCUGUAAUCCUGCAAAAUGGUUUCUGAAGAGUCUGGUGAAAUGCAACUGUUAUCCCUCACUUUGCAUUUUGCUCCAACGAUUCUGAGGUGCAACUUAUGGAUGAGACUGAUUUCUUUCCAUAUUGCUGUAGUAAAUUGGUUUUUGUUGUUUUCAUGGGCUUUGUAAAUCUUGCUGAUAAAAUCCAUAAGUGAUUUGCUAACAUAAAAGCUAACUGGAGAAACAUAAAAAAUAAUUCAAAAAUCAUUUCAUCUUAUCAACUGGAUUAAAAUUAAAAUUAUUAGAAAUACUAAUGAUAGUAUUUCUUUCCAGAGUGGUAAUGGAGUUUUUUUCCUUUUUAUUAAUAGCCCUUAAUGUAUCUUAUGGGAACAAUUAAUAGACAUUCUUCAAACUCCUUCAGAAAGCCCAAUGACAAGUGGCAUUUUUACCAGCGAGAUUCUCAGCGAAUAUAUAAUUCUUUGUCAAUAUUCAAAUUAAGGCAGAAACUCUAGAGUCUGAUCUGUAUCUAUUUCAUCUUUUAAAUGUGUUGAAAGGCCUCUGAGUGCAUCUUAAGCAGUUGGUAAAUAUUUUUCAGGUCAUCACAUACAGGAACUGGACCCCAGUUUUUCCUAAAAAAAUAUGUAUGUACAGAUGACAGAAAAAAAAUUGCCUUCAGAAAAUGGAACCCAUGUGCCAAGGCCUGGUCAGUAAAAAAAUCCCUAAUUUUUGCUUGUUUUAUAAUUUGUCUUAGGUUUUCUCUGACACUAGUGGAUUUCUUUUUUAAGGCAGUCAUAGUUCUAAUACUGUUCAGGCCUUGAAAAAUCCAAUCUAGGCUGGAUUAUGGUGGCUCACACUUGUAGUCCCAGCACUUUUGGAGCUCUG